CUGACGCAGGGCUCGAACUCCUGGACCGCGAGAUUGUGACCUGGCUGAAGUCGGACGCUUAACCGACUGCGCCACCCAGGCGCCCCAUGGGAACUAAGUUUUAAAAAGCAUUUCAAAAAGGAGGAAGUGGUCUACAGUUUCAAAUGCUUCUGAUAUGUACUUCAGUUGAAUCUGUCAUGUGUUAAUGAACCUGUCCUAUCAAGGGUGAACUUCAUUCAUUCUCAUGGACUCAACCAUCAUCCAUCAGUUCUGUGAAUACGUCAGAUAAGAAGCUGAAUAUCCUGAAUAUCCUGACAGCAGUCUGAUGGCUUAUCAAUAAGGUGGUAUUGUGAGGUUUUGAGUUCAGGGCCUUUCCAUUGAGAAGAACCAUACUCAACCACUCAUAUUGAACACUGAGUAACUUUGGACAUUAGGUUUUGUUAGACUUGAUAAUGGGUCCUUAAUAAAUUCAACCUCGUAUUACAAGGCGAAACAGUGCUUUUAUAAAAAACACAUUGCUGUAAUUUCCAACAACUAAUGUUGCUUGAACCAUCCAGCUGCUUACACUUCUCAUACCGUUGGAAGUUAACAGCAGCACGUUCACUCCCACAUGUAUCUAUAGCAGGUGCGUCUUCCAAGCACAAACUACAGCUCCAGCAGUGUUAUUUCAAAGAUCAAUGCAAGCGUAAAGGAAAAUUCCAGAUUUAAAAACUUAUUUAACUGUGCAACUGACGAUAUUCCAUCUAAGUUUCAAUUAGAAGUGAUUCAUCUGCAACAUGACAUGCUAAAAGGCCACCAUCAAGAAUCUUAAUUGUAUAAAUGCCUCCAUGUGAUGAAGAUGCUUGGUCAAAAUCAUACAGUCGUGGACUCAUCAGUAUUUGGCAGUACUUAUGUUUGAAAAGCUAUUUUCAAAGCUGAAAUGCACAAAAUCUAACAGAUGAACAUCUGCAAUCAACUUUGAUAGCAAACUUUGAAUUCCAAUUAAGCAAAAUACUGCCCCCAAAAGCAUUCCACCCUUCUCAAUAGAUCUGUAUUAGAAAAAGUUGUACUCUAAAUUACUAGAUUUUGAAUUUCGUCAAUAAAUUUGUGGAAACGUA